GAAAAAUGUUGAUGGGAAAUAUGGAGGAAGGUCAAGGGAAAAAUGGGAAUUUUGGAAAUUAGUUGCGGGAAUUACAAAAUAAGACCCAUAAUAAGUUGGGCUCAAAAGAAAUGAAAAAAAAAAGGAAAAAGAGGCCCAAAACCUAUGGGAUGGCCGGCCAUGGGAAACAAAGGGCCCAAGCCCAUGUGCUAAUUUGAGUGAUCAAAUAAAUGGAUAAAGGGUCAUUAGCUAUCUUCAUAGUAGAACUUUCAAGAAACAAAAAAAUGAAAGCACAACAAAAGGGCCAUUCGGCCGAAUAGAGAAAAGAGAAAAAAAAAAUCCUUGGAGCUUUAAUCUUUGGUUCAAAAAUCCAUCUCUCUUGAAUUCCUACUAAGCUCGAGACCCUCUUCAACGCGAUAUAAUUUUUGGGGCAAGAAAGUACUUUAUUUUUGGCAAGUGGAAAAGUUGGAAAGAGAUAUUGGAGAGCUCGAGACUUGAGUUGGGAUUUGUUUGGCGAGGGAUCAAGAUUUGGUAGUGAGCGAUCGAGGUACAGACGUUUGUUUUGGUGAUCCUCCGGUAUAGGAUACAUAUUCUGCCACUUGGAGUACUCCUUUUGAUCCGGAGCUCAUAUUUUUGGUACAUAUCUUCUGUUAUACGUUCUGUAUAUGUAUGGCUAUUUGGGUACGGCGGGGCCCUGUCCCGUCAUAUGUUUUUGUUAUGUUUUGUAGAGGCCUGUAGUCAUAUAUGUGGGUCAUGGGUCAUGUUUGUUCGUUUGUGAUUACGAUCUGCGUCUUAAUGCGGCCCCGUUUGCUAUUAUGGCCAAAACGGCCCAUUUGUCUGUAUAUGUGUAUAUAUCUGGCGAUGUGUAUUCCGCCAAUCUAUCGGAUUUGGAUAUGAUGUUUCUGUACGGGCGACCGAUUAAGACGAUAUUUGCUUCCAGUAUUUGCUUAAAUUAAUGUAUGUUAAGUUUGAUUAA